rnacentral:tRNA from 1 species
GACCCGUUGGUGAAAUGGUUAACACGCUACCCUCUCAAGGUAGUAUGUGUGGGUUCGAAUCCCAUACGGGUUACCA